rnacentral:rRNA from 1 species
AGCUAACCGUUAAGACCUUGACAGUUGUGAACCAUCUCCUUCGGAGUUAGUGGCAGACGGGUGAGUAACGCGUGGGAACCUACCUUUAGGUACGGAACAACAGUUGGAAACGACUGCUAAUACCGUAUGUGCCCUAUGGGGGAAAGAUUUAUCGCCUAAGGAUGGGCCCGCGUUGGAUUAGUUAGUUGGUGGGGUAAAGGCCUACCAAGGGGACGAUCCAUAGGUGGUCUGAGAGGAUGAUCAGCCACACUGGGACUGAGACACGGCCCAGAUUCUUACGGGAGGCAGCAGUGGGGAAUAUUGGACAAUGGGGGCAACCCUGAUCCAGCCAUGCCGCGUGAGUGAUGAAGGCCCUAGGGUUGUAAAGCUCUUUCAGCGAGGAGGAUAAUGACGUUACUCGCAGAAGAAGCCCCGGCUAACUUCGUGCCAGCAGCCGCGGUAAUACGAAGGGGGCUAGCGUUGUUCGGAAUCACUGGGCGUAAAGCGCACGUAGGCGGACUUUUAAGUCAGGGGUGAAAUCCCGGGGCUCAACCCCGGAACUGCCUUUGAUACUGGAAGUCUUGAGUCCGAGAGAGGUGAGUGGAACUCCGAGUGUAGAGGUGAAAUUCGUAGAUAUUCGGAAGAACACCAGUGGCGAAGGCGGCUCACUGGCUCGGUACUGACGCUGAGGUGCGAAAGCGUGGGGAGCAAACAGGAUUAGAUACCCUGGUAGUCCACGCCGUAAACGAUGGAAGCUAGCCGUCAGGUAGCAUGCUAUUUGGUGGCGCAGCUAACGCAUUAAGCUUCCCGCCUGGGGAGUACGGUCGCAAGAUUAGAACUCACAGGAAUUGACGGGGGCUCGCACAAGCGGUGGAGCAUGUGGUUUAAUUCGAAGCAACGCGCAGAACCUUACCAGCCCUUGACAUUUGGUGCUACUUCCAGAGAUGGAAGGUUCCCUUCGGGUACGCCAGGGACAUGUGCUGCGUGGCUGUCGUCAGCUCGUGUCGUGAGAUGUUGGGUUAAGUCCCUUACUCCUCGCACGCGUCGAACCUUUGUUUCCUUCAGUUGCGAUUCAUUUAGUCUAGGCGCACUCUAGGCGGGUACUAGGCGGUGAUACCAGCCGAGAGGAUAAGGUGGGGAUCCGACGUCCCGUCCUCAAGAGUGGCCCUUAGGGGCGUGGGCUCCACACGGUGGUGGGAUUGGCGGUGACAAAAGUGGAGCAGAACGUAUACUCGCUGAGGGGGGGCUAAUCUCCCCACCACGCCGUCUCAGUUGAGGGGUUGUUCUCUGCGAACUCGAGAGCAUGAAGAUUCUUCGCCCCCGGGGAGAUCGCUAGUAAUGUGGGUAACAGCAUGACGCGGUGAAUACGUUCCCGGGCCUUGUACACACCGCCCGUCACACCAUGGGAGUUGGGUUUAUCCGAAGGCACUGCGCUCCGUACAUGGUUACCGCGUGAUCACCUUAGAGUU